GACGUAGGGCGCGAGCGUUGUCCGGAUUUAUUGGGCGUAAAGAGCUCGUAGGCGGUCUGUUGCGUCGGCUGUGAAAACCCGGGGCUCAACCCCGGGCCUGCAGCCGAUACGGGCAGACUAGAGUUCGGCAGGGGAGACUGGAAUUCCUGGUGUAGCGGUGAAAUGCGCAGAUAUCAGGAGGAACACCGGUGGCGAAGGCGGGUCUCUGGGCCGAGUACUGACGCUGAGGAGCGAAAGCGUGGGGAGCGAACGG
rnacentral:rRNA from 1 species